rnacentral:rRNA from 1 species
UACCAGCUCUCCGAGUGGUAGGGAUGAUUAUCGGGCUUAAAGCGUCCGUAGCCGGCUUGGCAAGUCUCCUGUUAAAUUCAGCGACCUAAUCGUUGAGCCGCGGGAGAUACUACUAGGCUAGGAGACGGGAGGGGUCGACGGUACUCUUGGGGUAGGGGUGAAAUCCUAUAAUCCCGGGGAGGACCACCAGUGGCGAAGGCUGUCGACUGGAACGUGCUCGACGGUGAGGGACGAAAGCUGGGGGAGCGAACCGGAUUAGAUACCCGGGUAGUCCCAGCUGUAAACUAUGCGGGCUAGGUGUUGGAGUGGCUACGGGCCACUUCAGUGCCGCAGGGAAGCCAUUAAGCCGCCGCCUGGGGAGUACGGCCGCAAGGCUGAAACUUAAAGGAAUUGGACGGGGGGCGACCGACGAGGCGUGAAGCUUGCGGUUC